CGUCUAUUUCAUUAGAAAUAAUUUAGUUAGAAGUGGUGUACAGGUGAGUAAAUGAUAUUAUGGCUACCUUGGAGUAAGGGACAUUAAAAUCCCUUAUAAAUCAAUCUAAGCUUUGUAUUAAAGAAAUUUAUUUUCGCUCCUAGAUGGAAAUUAAUAUCUCGGACAGGUAGUAGUUAAGGUAAUGGCUUAACUAGCUUAUGUCCGUAGUCGAGACUGAGAGGUCGAUCGAUCACAUUGGGUCUGAAAAAACCCCAAUACGUAUAGUACAGCAGUGAGGAAUAUUGGUCAAUGGCCUAACGGCUGAACCAGCAACUUGGGGGAAUGGAUAUCUAUAUUAGAGCUAAUAUAUAGUACCGACUUUGUCGGAUAAAGUUCUAGAUAGAAUAAUGAUAAUGACAAUUUUCUAUCUAUAUGUCUUGACCAAAUCUUGUGCCAGCAGUCGCGGCAACACAAGGGAGACUAGUGUUAUUCAUCUUUAUUAGGUUUAAAGGGUACCUAGACGGUAUAUCAUGCCCCAAAAGGGAACGGAUAUACUAGAGUUUUAUGUGAGAGGCAAAUAUAGUACUAUUGGUGUAGAGAUAAAAUUCAUUGAUACCUCUAGGCACGGGUAACGGCGAAGGCAAUCCUCUAUGUAAAAACUGACGUUGAGGGACGAAGGCUCGGGUAGCGAAUAGGAUUAGAUACCCUAGUAGUCCGGGCAGACAAUUAUGAAUGUCAUAGAUUAGAAAUAUUUGGUCUAU
rnacentral:rRNA from 1 species